GCUUAUUCUCAGGGCAGGGUGAAAUUCCUGACCGGCGGUAAUCCUGAUUUCAGAGAAGCCCGCGAGCGCCUGCCAAAGCAAUUUGGCAGGGUCAGCAGAUCCGGUGAGAUUCCGGAGCCGACGGUAACAGUCCGGAUGGGAGAGGAUAAAG
rnacentral:ncRNA from 2 species